AUUUGCUUUCAUUGCAUAGAAUGAAGUUAUGCAGGGUGGUUCUUUGGAACCACCUGUUUGAGAAAUGUGUCCCCUUCUUUGGCAGCGUAGGGGGAUGUGUGCAGCAUUUCUGUCCCCAGGCUGCCACCCACUGUGUUUCUAUAGAGGAGCCCAUCGGAUACACCAGGUAAGGUCUGGGAAAAACCAGAACCGAGGCCACUUCUGAGAAAGAAAAUUGCAAGGAAGAACUGAAAUUGCUGCCAUCCAAUUAGCCUGGUUUAAAGUAGCCUCAAAUUCACUGCAGAUGAAGAAACGUGCUUUCUUUCUAAGGCUUUUGAAAAAGUACUUUGGGGAAGUAUACUUUUAGAAUAUUGCUAAAAUUAUAUGCAUGCUAAAUUUCAUCCUGCAUUUCAAGCCAGGAAAAUUAAGUAAUUUUAAUUACAUGAUGCCACCAGCACGUUGGUUAAUUUUCAAGUAAAAUCUUUGAUACCAGAAAUCAAGAUUUUCCAAGACAUAUAAUACAGAGCUGUAACAAUGCUGAGUGACCAGAGCUUGCUUCUGUGGGAUUUAGCACACACCCACUACGUGUCCCCGAGGGGAGUGGGGAGUCAGGCUCCCGUGCCCCUGUGGGGACGAAGGUGUGUGCUGAUCCCCUGUUCCCCUGUGGGGAUGAAGGUGUGUGCUGAUCCCCCAUUCCCCUAUGGAGAUGAAGGUGUGUGCUGAUCCCCCGUUCCCCUAUGGAGAUAGAGGUGUGUGCUGAUUCCUCGUACCCCUGUGGGGAUGAAGGUGUGUGCUGAUCCCCCAUCCUCCUGUGGAGAUGAAGGUGUGUGCCGAUUCCUCAUACCCCUGUGGGGAUGAAGGUGUGUGCUGAUCCCCCAUCCUCCUGUGGAGAUGAAGGUGUGUGCCGAUUCCUCAUACCCCUGUGGGGAUGAAGGUGUGUGCUGAUCCCCCGUUCCCCUGUCUAGAUGAAGGUGUGUGCUGAUCCCCCGUUCCCCUGUCUAGAUGAAGGUGUGUGCUGAUCCCUCGUGCCCCUGUCUAGAUGAAGGUGUGUGCUGAUCCUGAUUCCUCAUGCCCCUAUGGAGAUGGAGGUGUGUGCUGAUCCUGAUUCCUCGUGCCCCAGUGGAGAUGGAGGUGUGUGCUGAUUACUAAUCCACAUGCACAAGAACAGGGUGUCCGUCAGUACCCUGAAUUAAUGCUAACACAGUGCCACUUGAGUUCACAUUAAGUUAGAAAUUGAGAAUCUAAAAGUACUUUUAUUUUAACUUAAAAAUAAUUUCUUUGCUGUAUGUUGAUUGAUUGUGACACAAUUUACAAAGUCUGAGGUGUGGAACAGAGUUAUUUAAGCAUUAAUCAACCCUGGUCCUUAAAAAGACAGUUCUAGUAAAAUGGGAUUGCACAUAUUUGUUCAACUAUUUUGACCAAAAAAAGUUUAAUAAAUUUUAAAUGUUUAACUGGAUUUUCACUACAUAUUUGGACACCUUUUGCCAUCUUUCCUCUAGAACAUAUUUCCCACUAAAUAGCCCACCUCCUCCACCUCCGGGGCAGAGCAGAAGGUGCAGCCCAGGCGGAUCCGUGUGCAGAGGCUCUGUGUGGCACUGCUGCUCCCAUGGGACCGCCAGUGCCUCGAGGUCUGGGGUGCACGUUCCUUGGAGGUGUCCUCACCUGGCUCUGGGGCCCCUGUGGGGGAAGUCUGCUGGUCAGCAGCCCUGUCCAUUUCCAUGGGUUCUCCCCAGUGCAGUCUUCAUGUUCUGAGAGGCGCUGGCGAUUGCAGGCACCUAUGUCCGCGAAAAGCAGGAUCCAUUCACUUCUGAGAAGGAAGUGCCCUCAACAGGCAUAGAGGAAGUUUCUUCUGGGUUCUUUUCCCUUUUAUACUUCAGAUUCCAUUCAAGCCUUUUUCCAUCCCAGUGAGUGAGAACAGUGUCAUCAGCUUCUGAAGGUUAAUUCUGAGCACACUUUUCAUUGAUGAAGGUUCUGUGCCUGUGGUGCAUAUGAAGGUUUGCUGUGCUCUGGGGUGAUGACCUGGAUUCCAUGAACACACUUCCUUCAUAUGUGGAUUUAACAUGCCUUUUUUGAAAGAAAAAUGGAGCUCCUAUGAACCAGUUUAUGAUGCCGUUGUGGACACACACGGUCUGAUUUCGGAAGCCACACGACUGGCAGGUGUGGGCUGGAGACUGCAGCAUGUGUCUGUCUGUCCUAUGUGGAGCCAAGUUACCGCCGUCAGCGCCAGAAGCCACAAGGCGCGGUGCUAUGGGUUUGGUGUGUGUCCUGCUCCCGGCCAGACGAAGCUGGCCCCGGAUCCGCCUGGCCCAGCUGCUCUGCGUCACCCCUUUGCUUGCUUGGGAGGAACAGUGGGUCUGGGUGUGCGGAGGCUGAGUGGCCCUAAGCUUGCUUUCUCCUAAACCUGUGCUGUGUGUCCUUGGCCAGCGGCUUUGGCGUCAGCCAGGGAGUAGGGGAAUGAAGUCAGAGCCAGCAGGAGUCCGGGCUGUGCAGGACAGCAGAGGUUGCAUCUUCCCGGAGCUGCAGGUGAAGGGACAUGAAUGAAGUGCCUGCUGUAUGCAGGGCGUGGCUCUGCUUGCCCUGGGCUGGGCCGGGGGUCCUGAGUGGGGCUGGAGCGGCAUUUUCCGUGGUGAGCUGUCCUGUUGGUGCCGUGCUGGAAUCACCAAGGGAGUCGGAUGGAAGCCGUCUGUGAGCUGGUGAGACAGCCAGCCAGGAAUCCAGCCGCAGGUGGGGAGAAAAUGCAGCUCAAACCCGUGGAGCUGAAAGGGGCCUGCAGACCACCUUCAGACGCUGCCUAUGGCCACCGCUCCCCCAACUCCCAGGAGAGGCCUGGGCCUGGGGGCCUCGCAGGCCCCGUGCUCUUACCUUGGGUCCCAUCCUGGGCAGAAGGACUCGCUCGUGCCCUCCGAGGGGGCUGCCUGCCGAAGCCGAGCUCAGCAGUCCCCGACAGUGGGUCUUCUCUGCUCAGGCAGUGUGCGGGGGUGGGUGGAGUGUAGACCAGAUUUGAGUAAGGGCAGCACCUCCAGCCCCAUGGGGCUGUCACAGGUCAGGCCCUGCAGAGCUGUGGGGUUUGACUGGUGUGGGUGGCAACCCCUCCUGAGUGCCUGCUACAGGCAGGCUCUGCGCCAGGGCUUUCCCUACAGCCAUCCUGGCCGUGGGUCACAGAUGGACACACCACAGCACCCGGCUGGGCACUGGGGUGAUGCUGGGCUUGGCUUUGAGCUCCGUGCCUCUGUGCCCCGUGUGCCCCUCAGAGUGCUGGUGACAAUGCAGGGCUGCCUACAGGACACCCAGGGCUCCUUGAUCUUUUAGGAACUGCGGCACCCCUGAAGCCGUGAGAGGUGCAGAGGCGCUGCCGUCCUAGGCCAGGCCUCAGCUUCCGCUGUCUGCACCUCUGGCUGUAGCGCCCGCACCCAGUCCCAAGAGCACAGCGGCUGCGACUUGUCUCUGGCCAGGGGAGGUGGUGGCGUCAUACCCAGGACAGGAACCCACACUUGAUGUCCUCUGGGGUCUUCUUACAUUAUCUUAAGGAUUGAUAGACUCCCACCCCAUCUGCUCCCACCUGUGGACUCCCACCCCAUCUGCUCCCACCUGUCCCUAAUUUCAUGCGCCUCCGCCUGAGUUCCUGCACACAUCUCCUGAAUAAACACCCCCCUGUGCCAGUCAGAACCCGCAGGGAUUUUGGAAGUGAGAGCCCAGCAAGGCAGCUGGCCAGGGGGCGGCACUGCCCUCUGGGGAGCACCGGUGCCCAGGACUCUGCUUCUGAGGCUGGCCUGUACAAUGAUUUUGUAUAAAUAUCUCCAAUUAGAACCUUUUAGUGUAUUUCUUAAUAUAACAGAGACUGGUGUCUUAACAUACAAGACUAGCUGCCCAGUGAUAGACACCAAAUCGAUCCUGGUUUGCAGUGGCCAGGAUCCCUGACAGUGGAAUGGUGAGGUUAGAACUGAAACCGCAUUUCAUGAGAUCACACCACCACGCAGGAGAAAAAAGGUUUCGGGUGAGGGGCAGUACCGUCCUAAGAAAGCUCACCAGCUCCGUGCAGUCACCUUCACUCACUCACCAGAUGUAGACUGCAAAGAAGCGAAACCUGUGAUUUCUUUAAUAAUCACAGUCUCCAUCUGGUGAGUGGUUGAAGUCACAUUCUGUGUUCAUUUUCCUUUUGGUUGCUGGGAAAUGCUUCGGAUAGUAAUAGUUUUCGAUUCUGCAACUCCCAUUGUCUAGGCUCUGUAGCUCUCCAUUUUCUUCUUAUCCUUGGGACGUGUCUUGGACAUUGCUAACAGGCGGUGUUCCUGGACCUGCAACUCAGCUGGAGACUGGGUCCCUUGCGGAUUUGCAGGGACUGUCCAUCGCUAGUGUACAGAUGCAAAACACUGGCACCACCCAGUCAGAACUGGCAGGGGCUGCCUGCACUGCACCAACCUCACAGAUAGCCAGGCCCAGACCACACAACUGCCCACCAGGCUCCACCCCACAACCUCAGCCCAGCCAAGGCCGAGAGGUGGCUGCACUUCCGCCGAUCGGAGGUCCAGAUAGAGCUGCGUCUGCUUGGAGUGGUCGACUGCAUGACAUCGAGUUUCAUAAUCAGUGGUACUUACUUUCCAUUUAUUAAUAUUAUACCUUUGAAGAUGACUGUGUGACCUUAGACAAUUCACUUGCUUGCCUUGGAGUUGUUAGAAAAUUAUCUUUGGGGCCGGGCACGGUGGCUCACACCUGUAAUCCCAGCACUUUGGGAGGCCAAGGCGGGUGGAUCACAAGGUCAGGAGUUUGAGACCAG